ACCUUGAGUCCUUGCAUUUAAACAGACAAAGGCAUGUAGUUUUCUUGGCAUCAGAAGUCCUUCACCAUUGCUUUCUUCUAUGAGAUGAGAGAAAAUGUUAGGCCCAAAAUCGUCUACUUGGCUCGAUGCCAAAGGCAGAACUGGAACUCAUGAUUUCCUGGAAUUCUACCCAGUGUGUUUAACUUUUAAACUAAUUGACAUUCAAGCUAGGGAAGGAGGCUAUAUAAUACAGCAUAAUACAUAUUAUAAGCCUUUGCAAGAUGUUAAAGGUGAUCUUAAAUGAAUUGAAGAACUAUAAAACUAUUCUAUUUCUUAAUCUAGAACCAUCUCUUAGAUCCUAAUCCUUUGUAUUCUGAAAUGGGAAUAAAUCCUAUUAAACUCAGUGAGACUUUCUGAGUAUUUAUGCCUCUGAUUCAACUAUAAGACAGACACAGACGAUCUCCACCUUUUAGAUUACUUUGCAUUCAUACCAGUGCAAUU